GCUACGGGAGGCAGCAGUGAGGAAUAUUGGUCAAUGGACGAGAGUCUGAACCAGCCAAGUAGCGUGAAGGAUGACUGCCCUAUGGGUUGUAAACUUCUUUUAUAAAGGAAUAAAACGAGGCACGUGUGCCUUUUUGCAUGUACUUUAUGAAUAAUGAUCGGCUAACUCCGUGCCAGCAGCCGCGGUAAUACGGAGGAUCCGAGCGUUAUCCGGAUUUAUUGGGUUUAAAGGGAGCGUAGAUGGGUUGUUAAGUCAGUUGUGAAAGUUUGCGGCGCAACCGUAAAAUUGCAAUUGAUACUGGCAGUCUUGAGUACAGUUGAGGUAGGCGGAAUUCGUGGUGUAGCGGUGAAAUGCUUAGAUAUCACGAAGAACCCCGAUUGCGAAGGCAGCUUACUAAACUGUGACUGACAUUGAUGCUCGAAAGUGUGGGUAUCAAACAGGAGUAGAUACCCGUGUAGUC
rnacentral:rRNA from 1 species